rnacentral:rRNA from 1 species
UGAGGAAUAUUGCGCAAUGGGCGAAAGCCUGACGCAGCGACGCCGCGUGGAGGAUGAAGGUCUUCGGAUUGUAAACUCCUGUCGAGCGGGACGAAUGCGGGGAGCGUUAACAGCGCUCGCCGUUGACGGUACCGCUGGAGGAAGCCCCGGCUAACUCCGUGCCAGCAGCCGCGGUAAUACGGAGGGGGCCAGCGUUGUUCGGAAUCAUUGGGCGUAAAGGGCGCGUAGGCGGCCGAUCAAGUCCGACGUGAAAUUCCUCGGCUCAACCGAGGGCCUGCGUCGGAUACUGCUCGGCUUGAGUCCCGGAGAGGGUAGUGGAAUUCCCAGUGUAGCGGUGAAAUGCGUAGAUACUGGGAGGAACACCGGGUGGCGAAGGCGGCUACCUGGACGGGUACUGACGCUGAGGCGCGAAAGCUAGGGGAGCGAAACAGGAUUAGAUACCCUGGUAGUCCUAGCUGUAAACGAUGGGCACUUGGUGUUGCGGGUAUC